ensembl:lncRNA novel transcript
AUGGUAACAGAGCCAUCUGGCUUUCUUGCCUGGCACCAGACCUUAUGACUUCAUGAUGGAAUCUUCUCUCAGCAGGCAGAGGGGGAUUUGCCAGGGUAAAGAGGAGGCUGGGAGGAAGAGGCCUGCCGAGGGAGGCUUUGUCUUUUCAGCCAGAGUUUGACAAUUAGGCUUCAUCAUGUCACGAUGCGGUGCUACUGCUGACCCCAAAACACAACGCCGGAAGUGGUGCUCACUAGAGACUAUGUGUCAGAACUGUGACGCUGAAUCCGGAGCCCCAACCUCUCCUAGCCUCCUAGAGGAGGAUGACCCAGGACCCUUGUCCUCCCAACAGCAGGCCACCAGUUCAAGGGACAAGAAGCCCCUAAGCUCCCUCCACCUUUCACAUAGGGCCCAGGUGGCCUUGGAGUACCUGCCUUUCUUCUGCACCUAUGGGUGCCUCCUGGAAGAGGAGGGGUUGGUCCUGCAGCCCAAGACACCGCUCCAGGAGGACUCAGAACUGCUCAGUGGGUUCUUCCCUUACUACCGCUCUGAGGAGGAGAGUUUGCCCAGCCUGGCCCUUCCUGGCUGGUCACACAGGGGCUCCCAAGAUCUGCCCACUGAGAAGGAGGCACGGGCUGGCUGCUUCUGCAGGACAACAGUCAGGGACGAAUGCUCUCCUGACCCAAGCUCAGACAGAGGAAGCAGGAGCCACCUGAACAACUGAAGGGUGCAGACACCCAGAAGCUGGUUUUGUAAAUAAAUCGUGCACCUUGGCGCUGGUGCACUAAUUGGA